rnacentral:rRNA from 1 species
AGUGAACGCUGGCGGUAGGCCUAACACAUGCAAGUCGAACGGCAGCACAGUAAUAGCUUGCUCUUACGGGUGGCGAGUGGCGGACGGGUGAUGAAUACAUCGGAAUCUACUUUUUCGUGGGUGAUAACGUAGGGAAACUUACGCUAAUACCGCAUACGACCUACGGGUGAAAGCAGGGGAUCUUCGGACCUUGCGCGAUUGAAUGAGCCGAUGUCGGAUUAGCUAGUUGGCGGGGUAAAGGCCCACCAAGGCGACGAUCCGUAGCUGGUCUGAGAGGAUGAUCAGCCACACUGGAACUGAGACACGGUCCAGACUCCUACGGGAGGCAGCAGUGGGGAAUAUUGGACAAUGGGCGCAAGCCUGAUCCAGCCAUACCGCGUGGGUGAAGAAGGCCUUCGGGUUGUAAAGCCCUUUUGUUGGGAAAGAAAAGCAGCAGGUUAAUACCCCGCUGUUCUGACGGUACCAAAAGAAUAAGCACCGGCUAACUUCGUG